rnacentral:sRNA from 1 species
UCUAUGAUGUUUUUCAUUGUUCUUGAGUAGUCUUCUUCAGAGUUCUUGAGGAUGGGUUAGGUUUAGGUGGAUUCCUCUGUUCUUUAGCUAGCUAAGUAUUUAUAUGCAUGAUUCCCUGCUAUUUUCUUUCUGAUCAAUUGAAAAUUGAUUUCAGACUUUCUCCACCGACUAAUAAGUGUUUGAUGAAAUGUAUGAACCAACUAAUUUCAGAGAUUUGUAGACUCUACCCCAAAACAUUGGAUGUUUAGACUGCUUAUUGAUUAGCCCAAGAAAUUUGUAGACUCUAGCCCAAGACAUUGGAUGUUUAGACUCUAGCCUGCUUUAUUAUGUUUCAUCAAUAAAAGUUGAGAUUAGGAAGUGAUAAAGUUAU